CGGUGUUUAACUGGCGUGAUGUGGGACGUCCUACCGGUGGGCUUAGCCUCGCGAGGGGCGGCCCAACUAAUAUCCCGUCGCGGUGCUCUUUACUGAGUGUCGAGUCGGGCCGGUACGUUUACUUUGAACAAAUUAGAGUGCUUAAAGCAGGCUAUCCUCGCCUGAAUACUGCGUGCAUGGAAUAAUGGAAUAGGACCUCGGUUCUAUUUUGUUGGUUUUCGGAACCCCGAGGUAAUGAUUAAUAGGGACAGAUGGGGGCAUUCGUAUUGCGACGUUAGAGGUGAAAUUCUUGGAUCGUCGCAAGACGGACAGAAGCGAAAGCAUUUGCCAAAAAUGUUUUCAUUAAUCAAGAACGAAAGUUAGAGGUUUGAAGGCGAUCAGAUACCGCCCUAGUUCUAACCAUAAACGAUGCCAGCUAGCGAUCCGCCGAAGUUCCUCCGAUGACUCGGCGGGCAGCUUCCGGGAAACCAAAGCUUUUGGGUUCCGGGGGAAGUAUGGUUGCAAAGCUGAAACUUAAAGGAAUUGACGGAAGGGCACCACCAGGAGUGGAGCCUGCGGCUUAAUUUGACUCAACACGGGAAACCUCACCAGGCCCAGACACCGGAAGGAUUGACAGAUUGAUAGCUCUUUCUUGAUUCGGUGGGUGGUGGGGCAUGGCCGUUUUUAGUUGGUGGAGCGAUUUGUCUGGUUAAUUCCGAUAACGAACGAGACUCUAGCCUGCUAAAUAGGCGUACCUUAUGGUAUCGCGAAGGCCCCCGGCUUCGGCCGGUGGGUUUUUACUACCAACGUACAAACAAAUCUUCUUAGAGGGACAGGCGG
rnacentral:rRNA from 1 species